rnacentral:piRNA from 1 species
UAUCUUGGAUCACCAUCACUGACACUGC